CCUACGGGUGGCUGCAGUGAGGGAUAUUGGUCAAUGGGCGUAAGCCUGAACCAGCGAAGUCGCGUGAGGGAUGAAGGUUCUCUGGAUCGUAAACCUCUUUUAUAAGGGCAUAAAGUGUGGGACGUGUCCUGUUUUGUAUGUACCUUAUGAAUAAGGAUCGGCUAACUCCGUGCCAGCAGCCGCGGUAAUACGGAGGAUGCGAGCGUUAUCCGGAUUUAUGGGGUUUAAAGGGUGCGCAGGCGGAGGUGAAAGUCAGUGGUCAAAGUGCGGGGCUCAACCCCGUACUGCCGUUGAAACUGCAUCCCUUGAGUGCGCGAGAGGUAAGCGGAAUGCGUGGUGUAGCGGUGAAAUGCGUAGAUAUCACGAGGAACUCCGGUGGCGAAGGCGGCAUACCGGGGCGCAACUGACGCUCAUGCACGAAAGCGUGGGGAGCGAACAGGAUUAGAUACCCUGGUAGUC
rnacentral:rRNA from 1 species